GCGGCUAGGGUUUUUAAUUUUACUGAAAAUAGUUUAGGUUUAUGGGCCAUUUGGGCUUUAGGGUUUUGUAUUAUUUGGGUUUGUAAAUUUUGGGCUUUCAGACCUUGUAAAGGGUCUUUGGACUUUAAUGGAUUUAUUUUUUUAUUUUUAUUUUUGGUUUGUUUUUUUGUUUGUAGUGGGCCGGGCAAAAUUGGCCUGUUACAUAUGUCAAUUUGAGAAAUUAUUGAACCGAUAAUAAAAGUGGUCGAUAAUGGUUUUGCAUGUAAUAUUAUUGUUGAAAUAAUGAAAUAAAAUGAGGGUCUUGAAUAAAUCUAUUGAGAAAUAUAGAUAUAGAAUAAAUUGGUUAAAAUAGAAAGAUGC
rnacentral:lncRNA from 1 species